CUGGCCAGCCAUCAUCGCGCUGACGUGGCCGUCUCCCAUUGGCUACCUGCCCGUAACGCGGCCUCUGAUUGGCCGGAACGACUCACGCCACCGCCCGAUCCCGCCUCAUCUCAGCCGUUCCGCAUCGCGCCCCCUCUUAUACCCUUGUCUUCCUCUCCUCUUCCCCCAGCCCCGAUCGCUUGUGGAAACUUCCGGUUCGGAAGAUCGAGCAGAGAAGGACGAUGGGAGGGCGCGCGCUCCCGCUGCUGCUGCUGGUGAUCUCGGCGCUCUUCGCCCAGAUCCGCGCGUCCGACCCGAAGUAAACAGAGAAGGUGCCCUGACUAUGAGUGCUAAGAAGAGAGGUUAACUUGAUAGGUGGUGGAAAGAGGAAUCAUACGCAUCCGGGAGCAGAAUCGAGUUUCUGAGAAUAAUAUAGAUCCAAUCCCCUAAGAAGCAUAAAUCUAAAGGUAUAUGGCAGCCUUGCGAUAUGAAGGUGCAGAUCGUCAUCCAGCUGGUGGUACAGCUUUCAUCUGAACAUAAGCAUCAGUCAUCGCCAUUGCACCCUCCACCGUGGCCGGUAGGUCUACCGUGCAAUUUUCGAUUGAAAUUGGAGGUUCCAUAUCAGGAUAAACAUCUUCCUUUUGUCCCCAUUUCCUUCAAUUUCAUUCAUUCCUCACCAAAUCCUUAUGCUUGUUGUGCAAUCUUUCCAAUCAACACAUUUUGAUAGCUGCAAUGUACGGCUCUUCAUAUAGCCGAAUAUUUUCCGGUAACUCUUUAACUUGUCAACUGGGCCAGGUGCUCAAAUUUAGUUUUUUUCUUGGCAAAAUA